GAUGAACGCUGGCGGCGUGCUUAACACAUGCAAGUCGAACGAAGCAUUUAGAACAGAUUACUUCGGUUUGAAGUUCUUUAUGACUGAGUGGCGGACGGGUGAGUAACGCGUGGGUAACCUGCCUUGUACUGGGGGAUAGCAGCUGGAAACGGCUGGUAAUACCGCAUAAGCGCACAAUGUUGCAUGACAUGGUGUGAAAAACUCCGGUGGUAUAAGAUGGACCCGCGUCUGAUUAGCUAGUUGGCGAGAUAACAGCCCACCAAGGCGACGAUCAGUAGCCGACCUGAGAGGGUGACCGGCCACAUUGGGACUGAGACACGGCCCAGACUCCUACGGGAGGCAGCAGUGGGGAAUAUUGCACAAUGGAGGAAACUCUGAUGCAGCGACGCCGCGUGAGUGAAGAAGUAAUUCGUUAUGUAAAGCUCUAUCAGCAGGGAAGAUAGUGACGGUACCUGACUAAGAAGCUCCGGCUAAAUACGUG
rnacentral:rRNA from 1 species